UACAGAGGUCUCAAGCGUUGUUCGGAAUUACUGGGCGUAAAGGGUUCGUAGGUGGCUUGCUAAGUCAGACGUGAAAUCCCUCAGCUUAACUGGGGAACUGCGUCUGAUACUGGCGAGCUUGAGUGCAGGAGAGGAACGCAGAAUUCCAGGUGUAGCGGUGAAAUGCGUAGAUAUCAAGUGGAACACCAGUGGCGAAGGCGAGUCUCUGGACAUUUCCUGACGCUGAGGCACGAAAGCCAGGGGAGCAAACGGG
rnacentral:rRNA from 1 species